AGCAUAGUGCCUGACUAAAGGAUAGUUUUGAUAGAACUAAUCAUGUAAUUAAACCCUACCUAUGCUA
rnacentral:tRNA from 1 species